CGAUCACGGUCCUAAAGAGGCACGGCACCUGACCGCAGGGCCGCCAUCAGAAAUUGAGGGGCCCCUAACACAGCUCAACGUCUGGGCCCCCGGGUGCCUGCCUCCAAGCCCCGCCUCCAAAUCCCACCCACAGGAAUACACACACACAGACACAAAAGGACACGGACACAAAAGGACACAGACACAUACAUACUAACAGAC